rnacentral:misc_RNA from 1 species
CGCAUAUUGCGCCCUUUGGUAUUCCGAAGGGCAUGCCUGUUCGAGCGUCAUUUACAAUUCUCCAGCUCUGCUUGGUGUUGGGCGGCACCGGAAGGUGCGCCUAAAAAUUAGCGAUGGUCCACCAAACCACAGGCGCACAGUUGUCGUCAUGGGGGGCAAGUGGAACAGCAAACUCCAGAUGUUGACCUCGGAUCAGGUAGGAAUACCCGCUGAACUUAA